GACGAACGCUGGCGGCGUGCUUAACACAUGCAAGUCGAACGGAAAGGCCCUGCUUUUGUGGGGUGCUCGAGUGGCGAACGGGUGAGUAACACGUGAGUAACCUGCCCUUGACUUUGGGAUAACUUCAGGAAACUGGGGCUAAUACCGGAUAGGAGCUCCUGCUGCACGGUGGGGGUUGGAAAGUUUCGGCGGUUGGGGAUGGCCUCGCGGCUUAUCAGCUUGUUGGUGGGGUAGUGGCUUACCAAGGCUUUGACGGGUAGCCGGCCUGAGAGGGUGACCGGCCACAUUGGGACUGAGAUACGGCCCAGACUCCUACGGGAGGCAGCAGUGGGGAAUAUUGCACAAUGGGCGGAAGCCUGAUGCAGCAACGCCGCGUGCGGGAUGACGGCCUUCGGGUUGUAAACCGCUUUCGCCUGUGACGAAGCGUGAGUGACGGUAAUGGGUAAAGAAGCACCGGCUAACUACGUG
rnacentral:rRNA from 1 species